rnacentral:rRNA from 1 species
AUUGAACGCUGGCGGCAGGCUUAACACAUGCAAGUCGAACGCGAACGGGCUUCGGCCCAAGUAGAGUGGCGGACGGGUGAGUAAUGCGUGGGAAUCUACCCUCGAGCGGGGGACAACCCGGGGAAACCCGGGCUAAUACCGCAUACGUCCUACGGGAGAAAGCGGGCCUCUACACUAUGCUCGCACUCGAGGAUGAGCCCACGUCCGAUUAGCUAGUUGGUAGGGUAACGGCCUACCAAGGCCACGAUCGGUAGCUGGUCUGAGAGGAUGAUCAGCCACACUGGGACUGAGACACGGCCCAGACUCCUACGGGAGGCAGCAGUGGGGAAUAUUGGACAAUGGGCGCAAGCCUGAUCCAGCAAUGCCGCGUGUGUGAAGAAGGCCUGCGGGUUGUAAAGCACUUUCAGUGGGGGAAGAACGGAUACGGGCCAAUACCCCGCAUCACUGACGUUACCCACAGAAGAAGCACCGGCUAACUCCGUGCCCAGCAGCCGCGGUAA